UGGCUGUCUGAGUCGCCUAUCCCUAAAUCCGGCCCUGCUGGGCCCUACUGAAGUCAGUAGGCGUUUUACCAUUAAUUUAAAUUGAGUCAGCUUUUCACCUCAUGAGUGCAAGGUAGGGAGUGUCUAUGCCAUGAGCAGUGCUAGACAUCCCAAAGAGCCCCAUUCCAUUCCCAGGGGCUGGCACUGGGGAAAGUGCAGGUGGACCUUUUUAAGGCACGCCAUUGAAGUCAAUGGAGUUUAUCCUGGUAUAAGAAGACUUCAUAUAUCCAGAAGAAGAGGCAAAAAAGGAUGAGAUCAGGGACAAGGCUGAAACUAUGCUGUAAAAAGUCUGAGCCAGGUAUGAAAAUCAUCAGAUCAUACCUAGAAACUACUCAUUUGGAACCCCAGAUAUCUCUUCCUGGAGGGUGAGGAGGUGUGUGAAAGGGCUUGAG